AACGAACGCUGGCGGCAUGCCUAACACAUGCAAGUCGAACGAGACCUUCGGGUCUAGUGGCGCACGGGUGCGUAACGCGUGGGAACCUGCCCUUAGGCUCGGAAUAACUCCCCGAAAGGGGUGCUAAUACCGGGUAAUGUCUUCGGACCAAACAUUUAUCGCCUUUGGAUGGGCCCGCGUUGGAUUAGCUUGUUGGUAGGGUAAAAGCCUACCAAGGCGACGAUCCAUAGCUGGUCUGAGAGGAUGAUCAGCCACACUGGGACUGAGACACGGCCCAGACUCCUACGGGAGGCAGCAGUGGGGAAUAUUGGACAAUGGGCGAAAGCCUGAUCCAGCAAUGCCGCGUGAGUGAUGAAGGCCUUAGGGUUGUAAAGCUCUUUUACCCGGGAUGAUAAUGACAGUACCGGGAGAAUAAGCUCCGGCUAACUCCGUG
rnacentral:rRNA from 1 species